rnacentral:lncRNA from 1 species
GUUCAGCCAUUUCAUGCAUAUCUCAAUGUGAUAUUUUCAGGAUGUUUUAGGGGGUUUUUGGGGAAUAUUUUAGAGUUAUGUUCAGGUAUGUUUGGUCCCUCAUUUGAGUCCACCUGUGUAGGUUCGGACCCGAGGAACCGAGGACCCCAGCAGUGAGUUCAGCUGCUUCGGUAUUGUCAGAGUCAGCCAGAGGUGAGUGGAACUAAACUUAAUCUUUUAAAUUAAAUGUUUUAUCAUGAUUCAUGCAUCAUGAUUAUGCAAUAGGAUGAUUGCAUUAGUUUCACGAAUCUGCCGCAUUGCAUCAAUUGUUGUUGAUGUGGGUGAAUGAUGGAUGACCCAAUUAGUCCAAGACAGGAAGACCAGGACCCCAUGCUACGGCCUGGCACAGAGUAAGAAAGACCAGGCCCCAGUCUACAGGCCUGGCACAGAGUAAAGCACGGUUAUGGGACUCGAAGACCAGGAGCCCAGAGGAGGCCCUGGAAAAUGGUAAGUAAUGUAUGUAUGACAGGAAGACCAGGACCCCAUGCUACGGCCUGGCACAGAGUUAACUUGGACUAUUUGGUGACAAGUUCACCCAACCCUUAUGUGAAUUGU